GCCAGGUUUGAUGGCUCACGCCUGUAAUCCUAGAGGCAUGUGAGGCUGAGGCAGGAGGAUCAGGAUUUCAAAGCCAGCCUCAGCAAAAAUGAGGCUCUGAACAACUCAGUGAGAUCCUGUCUCUA
rnacentral:sRNA from 1 species